rnacentral:misc_RNA from 1 species
CUGUUCGAGCGUCAUUAUAACCACUCAAGCCUGGCUUGGUGUUGGGGUACGCGGUCUCGCGGCCCCUAAAAUCAGUGGCGGUGCCGGUUGGCUCUAAGCGUAGUAAUACUCCUCGCUACAGACCCCUUCCGGUUCCCUGCCAGAACCCCCCAUUUUUACAGGUUGACCUCGGAUCAGGUAGGGAUACCCGCUGAACUUAA